CUUCUCCUCUCCUUCAACUAAAAUGAAUGUUUGAUGCUUUCAUAUGUCAACACUUUCACUAACAUUAGGUUAAAGACCUAAUUUACCUGUUGGGCCACAGACUAAAGAACAUGACACCACCCAGUAGCAGUCAGUCCGACCGUUGAAAUGUUACUGCUCGAAGGGUUUUGGUUUAUCAAAGACGCUAGCAAA